GAUCUCAUGUAGUUGUGAAAAAGAUGCAUUAUAGCUCAAAGAGAUCUCAUCACGGACUAGGGAUUAUAAAUUCAAAUUCUAUAGUUUGAGACAAUAUAGUCAUGUAAUGUUUAAGAAAAGUUUUGUAAAUGAGUUCCAAUAGUUCAUGGAUUAGGGACCCAAUGUUAUGGGUUCCAGGGGCUUCCGUAUAGAUUAUUUAGGUUAAUCUUUCUAUCUACCCAAUGGGACUCAGUGCUCAGUCUAGAAGAUACCCUUCGUGUCACCCUGUAGUUUUCGGUACCUUUCUUCCCAUAAAGAUGUUGAACUUCAGUAUAUUGUGGCCAUGGUUUCUCAGUGGUUCAGCUGAAACACUCCUGUAUGAAAGGCAGGAAAUGACUCUGGUAUCGGAUUAUUAUCAUUAGCAGAAUUUGAUGAUGAUGAUGGUUUAUGAGUUAUUUGUUACCAUCUCACAGCAUGUGUUCUCUUCAGUAUUGAAUACAAAAUACAGACAAGCCGUGUUCCAAGGAGCUUACACUUUGCAUCUCAGUAAGGUAAUUGUGGGUACAUGCGGUCAUCUUACGGGUCACCACUGUCGCGGUUGUGCUAGAUACAGAACACGGGGCUAGAGGAAGAGGAGAUAUUUAUUUUUAAGCCCAUAACUUCUCAGAAAAGAUUCUGCUUUGAGCUGCCUUUUUUUUUGUUUUCUUGCCAAGGAAGCAGCAGAUGUUAUUAAGCUGCGUCUGUGUGAGAUUUCAGGAAAUAAUCACAGUGAUUUUAUUCCUUGUUUUGCUAGAUGCAAAUGCAAAAACUGUUUUGGGUUUGGUUCAUUAAACUGAUUUAUUCCAAGAUUAGACUUUACUUCAAGAAGAUCUAUAAAUGCCUUUUUGAAUAGAUGCCAGAAAUAAACACUGGAAUGCAGCAGAAUAUAUGUUUCUUUUAGAAGCACACGGUAUUUGCUUUUGAAUG